rnacentral:rRNA from 1 species
CAGUAGCCGCGGUAAAACGAACCGUGCGAACGUUAUUCGGGAUUACUGGGCUUAAAGCGCGUGUAGGCGGCUCGGCACGUCGGACGUUGAAAGCCCCCGGCUCAACCGGGGAAGUGGCGCCGAUACGGCCGAGCUGGAGGGGGGUAGGGGGGUCUGGAACUUCCGGUGGAGCGGUGAAAUGCGUUGAGAUCGGAAGGAACGCCCGUGGCGAAAGCGAGGCCCUGGACCUUUUCUGACGCUGAGACGCGAAAGCCAGGGGAGCGAACGGGAUUAGAUACCCGCGUAGUCCCUGUCUCUUCUA